UAAGGAUGCCCCUCUAGGUACCUCCCAAUUGCACCACCCUGGGGAUCAAGCCUUUGUCACAUGGACCAGGCAAAACUAAAGACCACUCUCCAAUCUUCCACAGAUAUUUAGAGACUCAUGACAAAGAGUUUCUAUUUUGUGACUCACUUGGGAAAUAUGGAGUAAACUCCUUUGUAAUAGGCAGUGUCCAGAGCCACAAAGUAUGUGAAGGGAGUCUGAAAUCCUGUUUUCUGCCACCAUGACUACCCUGGCUGUUUCAUCGAAUGGAAGCAAGAAAACUGUUAGGAUGCUGCUGAAGGAAUCCAGAGUAAUCAAGAUGUUGUUCCCAUGUUCAUUCUCCAGUAAGCAUCAUGUAUAUGGAUCAUGAACUCAGAAACUGUUUCCCAGGGAGGUCCACCUAAGAUGAAUCUCUGACUCACACCAUACCAGGUAAAGAAAACCAAGGCACAAAGUGAAGAAAUAAUUUGCACAAGGUCAUACAUCUGAAUAGUGAUGGAGCUAGGAUUCAAAUCUGGGCGGUCUGGAUGUCUGGUCCUUACCCUUAUCCACUAAUGGCAGAGAAAACAAACUAAGUACAGCUGCAUGGAACAUCAUGGAUGA